rnacentral:rRNA from 1 species
CCUACGGGAGGCAGCAGUGAGGAAUAUUGGUCAAUGGACGAGAGUCUGAACCAGCCAAGUAGCGUGAAGGAUGACUGCCCUAUGGGUUGUAAACUUCUUUUAUCUGGGAAUAAAACAGGGUAUGCAUACCCUCUUGUAUGUACCAUAUGAAUAAGGAUCGGCUAACUCCGUGCCAGCAGCCGCGGUAAUACGGAGGAUCCGAGCGUUAUCCGGAUUUAUUGGGUUUAAAGGGAGCGUAGGUGGAUUGUUAAGUCAGUUGUGAAAGUUUGCGGCUCAACCGUAAAAUUGCAGUUGAAACUGGCAGUCUUGAGUACAGUAGAGGUGGGCGGAAUUCGUGGUGUAGCGGUGAAAUGCUUAGAUAUCGCGAAGAACUCCGAUUGCGAAGGCAGCGCACUGGACUGCAACUGACACUGAUGCACGAAAGUGUGGGUAUCGAACAGGAUUAGAUACCCCUGUAGUC